GCAGUGUGGCGCCGAGCGCAGGCGCAUAUGGCCUGCGUGGCCACCUCCUGGGGCGGGGACUGCUUGAGCGAGCUUCUCAGAAAACCUGUGGCCGAGGGCUGGAGACGUUAAGGGAAGGGGGCGUAGACACUCCCAUCCCCACCCUGGGAACACAAGAACAAGCUGUCGCCCUGGGGGUUGGAGUCGGACGCCAGAGUUGUGAAGUAGAUUUUCCGUAGACACUGCCUCCUUCCCUCACGUGUUCAUUAAAAGUUCUCCACGUGUGGAAACAGCCAUUUGCUCCCCACCAGGUGCCAGCAAGUUCUCGAGUGGGAGGAGUCAGCUUUCCCGCCGUCCCCAACUCCCACCCGACCUUUUCCCCGAAUCCGCCCCCGGCUCCGCCCCUACCGGACCUGCCUUUGGAAGGACCAGUUUUGCUUAAAAGAUAGCUCACUAGAAGAAAACUAAAGGCUCGAGGAACUAACAACGAUGUAUUAACAGAUUGUUUCUGGCUUGUAGGAUUCUUACAUUGCUCUCAUAAGCAGAAAAACAAUAAACGUUAUGGUUAAAA